AAGUCGUAGGAGCUCAAAGUCCCUAGCAAGGAGCGGAAAGCAUGGAGGUCCGCUUUCAGCCUCUGAAGCAAUGAUCCCUGUUUUACCUGGAGCGUGUGGUCACAGCUGGGAUUGUGCAACAGGCCACAAAAAGCAAUCUUGGCUCUCGCUCAAUUGCCUCUCUUGCAGGCAUGGGGCUGCAGUUUUGAAAGGCAGCUGCUGAAUUGCCACUGAUUGAUGGACCACAUAGAUAAAACUGUUACACAUUGCAGUCCGUUCAAAGCAAUCUGUGAGCAGGAUCAGCCCCAGUUCCUUGAGGUUGGAGCGUACCCAGAUGGAAUAUAAGGUGAUGUUCCCCCACCCUGCGGGUAGCCCGUUCUUGGUACAAGAGGAGGCCAUGGAACGACAUGUCAGAAUGUGAAUGGGAAUUGGAAUUCAAAUGUUGGGCCACCGGACAAACACUUUAGUGAAGUGCGCCCUAACAUCUGUACUAAUGUCAGUCAAGGUCCAUCAUUACCUGGAAAAACCAUAUUAGCAAGAGCCUGGCGUGGAAGUUCAAAGUUUAGUUGUGAAGAACGGGGUAGUACCUGCUGCAUCUGGAUUGGACUGGCGGGGUUACAUAAGCCGCUUACCAUUCUCUUCUGAGGUUUGAUAAGAGGUCGGCUGAGCCCGUUCAUCUUAUGGUACAGACCGCAGGCGUUGCACAAGUAAUGG